rnacentral:rRNA from 1 species
GACGAACGCUGGCGGCGUGCUUAACACAUGCAAGUCGAACGGAAAGGCCCUGCUCUUGUGGGGUGCUCGAGUGGCGAACGGGUGAGUAACACGUGAGUAACCUGCCCUUGACUUUGGGAUAACUUCAGGAAACUGGGGCUAAUACCGGAUAGGAGCUCCUGCUGCAUGGUGGGGGUUGGAAAGUUUCGGCGGUUGGGGAUGGACUCGCGGCUUAUCAGCUUGUUGGUGGGGUAGUGGCUUACCAAGGCUUUGCCGGGUAGCCGGCCUGAGAGGGUGACCGGCCACAAUGGGACUGAGAUACGGCCCAGACUCCUACGUGAGGCAGCAGUGGGGAAUAUUGCACAAUGGGCGGAAGCCUGAUGAAGCGACGCCGCGUGCGGGAUGGCGGGCUGCGGGUUGUAAACCGCUUUCGCCUGUGACGAAGCGUGAGUGACGGUAAUGGGUAAGGAAGCACCGGCUAACUACGUG